rnacentral:misc_RNA from 1 species
GUCACGGUUCAGAAUUUUAAGUCGUUACAUAAUGUAUCAAUCUGGACAACAGUAUAUGAGGACAAUUAAUAUGACUAUGAGUUAGGACCACAUUCAUAUAAAAAGGGUUUGGACCACCUUGAUGACUUCAUGUUUGAGGGCAAUUUUUCCCUGGCUCUUAUGUGUAGACUUGUUGUCUGACAGAAGUGGUUGGCUAAAAGGAAUCCAUAUAGCCGACUCAAACUAAUUUGAAAUUAAGGCAUAAUUUGCCUUUAAACCUUUCACUACUGCCAAAUAUGCAAUUUUAAAAUGACAAAUUUUCAUUUCCAGCAUACAAAACAAGGAUUCCAAACAAAACUCAGCAAAUCAUCAGUUAGAGACUUUCCUGAAGAGAAUUGGUGCGCCAUAUUGAGGCAGUACAGUCAGGAAAUUAAUUGGAGCAUGAACAUAUGUUGGU